UCACGAAUGCAUUUUCAUCCAUUUUUAAGGGAAAUCGUACAGAUUCAAUAAACGGGUCGGACACGGGUUACUCGUCUUUCAGCUCCGAUUUCUGAGAGGAAUGAAUAUCAGCUGCAGGGUAGCUAGGGUUGAGGAUGGGCGUAAACCCAAAUCAUGGCUCUUCAAAAGUACCUGAAAACCCUCAAAACCCUCAAGAGAAGUCAUCGGCCCAACCUCUGCCCUAAUCCCCACCAAGCCCUUACAGAAAUCAUCUCCCAAACCCUAAACUCCUCAGCUCCCAAACCCUUAACCACCACCGAUACUGCUUCCUUCCUGUCGUGUCUCAGCCCCACCACACUCCUACACAUUCUUACGGAUCCAGAGCUCAAAUCCUCAAAAUGCUCACGUUUCUUUAACUUUCUCAUCCGGAACCGAUCUCUUAUAUCCUUCGAGCCUGACCUGCAAGCCUACUUGACCCUAAUUUGCAGGCUUCUCAGAGAGAGAAGGUUCUCCGAUGCUGAGAAAACCAUAAAAUGGGUUUCGGUUGGCGAAAACCCCAGGUACCCAUUUUCUGUACUUGCUCCUACGGUUUGGAAUUGCUGCAGUGACCCCAAAGUGCUGACAAAAUUUUUCAAUUCUAUGCUUAAGAUUUAUUCUGAUUGUAACAUGUUCGAUGUAGUUUCGGAAGUUUUUGAAUAUAUGAAGAAUAAUGGAAUUGAGAUGGACGAGAGGACUUGUACUGUACAUUUGCUUGCCCUCAGAAGGUCUGAUCAUAUGCAAUUGGCUUUAGACUUCUUUUAUCGAAUGGUCGAGUCGGGCAUUGAGGUUUCCGUGUUUUCUUUGACAAUCGUGGUGGAGUGCUUGUAUAGGGGUGGAGAGGUCAAGAGGGGUAGGGAAUUGGUGGAGGAGAUGAUUGGUAGAGGAAUCAAACCAAAUAUUAUAACAUUCAAUAUAAUGGCAGAUGCUUGUGCCAAGGCACGGAAUUUUGGGGAGUUGGAUAUGGUUUUGCUUUUGAUGGACAAGGAAGGAUUGGCAUUCAAUGAUCGCACGUACAAAAUAUUGAUAGAUGGAUUUACGAGUUUUGGGAAGGUUGACGAAGCUAAAAAGUUGGUUUUUGACAUGCAUGACAAAGGUUUAAAAGUGUAUGCGUAUUUGUGCAAUUUGAUUAUUCAUGGCUAUUGUAGAUUAGGAUCUAUGGACGGUGCAGUUUUCAUGUUUGAUGAAAUGACAAAAAGAAGCAUCCUUCCUAAUGCUGAUACUUACUGGUCUCUGAUAAGCGGUCUUUGCAAGGCUGAAGAAAUGGGAAUGGCAAUGGCAUAUGUAAACGACAUGCAUACCAAAGGAAUAGAACUGGACAGUAUCAUGUUUAACACUCUAAUCGACAGUUUUUGCAACCAAGGGAUGGUUAAUGAAGCUUUUGAGUUGCAAGUUUUGAUGGAGAAGAAAGGAUUUAUUGCUGAUUUAUGUACGUGUGACAAGUUACUGAGUGGAUUAUGUGAGAUGAAUCAUAUUGCCAAGGCUAAGAGGUUGCUGAACAUGAUGGAUAGAAGGGGUGCAACCCCAAAAAUUUUGAGGUCCACAGCUUGAACUAAUGUAUGAAGUUGACCAAGACUGACUCAAUGAUUAGAUAAUCACUAGUCGCGAACCUGUGCAAUUAUAUGUAACGAAGUUAGGAUUCCUUCAAUUGAACUAGUACUAUAGAUUACCAAUUGUAAAUGCAAGUUACAUUACUUUUUUGAAAAAAAAAAAAGGUGCACAGUAUUCUUGAUUUUAUUCAUGACUCACUUUUCAUGAAAGAAUAGGGCUGUUCAUUUAACCUGUCAACCCGAACUGACCCAAAAUUCCCGAAUUUUCUGCACCGAAUUACCUGACUCGGAAUGAAAUAAUAAAAAAUGGAGCUCCUGUUGUGCUUCCGAAAUACUACAGUUAGGUCAGUUAAUUGAUAACUGAAAACUGGUCCAGUCCCCCUUGCUUCGUUUUACAUACUUCCUUGAUCCUUCCACAGAACUCUUCUCUCCCUUGAAAUUGAAUGCCAUUGCUCUGCGCCUCUGCUCUGCCUCUGAAAUCUGAAAACAAAUCACUGUGAGUCUGUGUUUACCAUUUAUGAAUUCCAUUGCUCUCCCUCUCAGCUCCAUUAGUCCCUUGCAGUCGCAGCCCUAAGGAGGAUUUCUCUGACCGAAGUUGAGCCUGAUGGAACCCACUGCUACUAUACCUUCGUCAGGGUCUAAAUCAAUCCCCGAUGCGAUGCAUUUGGACAGCUCUAUGCCUCCAAGUUUGGAUAGCCAUCUGCCUACAGCUAGUCCUAGAAGUCGCCCUCCUAUCACACAGAAAAUAUUUCAGGGUAGAUCAGAAUUAUGGCAGCAUUUUAGUAGGAUCGAAGAUAAAGAUCAUAAUGCAUUUGGUUGAGUCAUGUUUUAUGGGAAUUUUGUAUCAUUUUGUGUGGAGUUUUGUAUCAUUUUGUCCAGCACUGAGCUUGCACUGCAUGCAGCAUUAUGAACUGUUCAACUCAAUGGCAAAAUCUGGAUUCGACUCCAGAAUUACUUCCUAUGUA